CAUUUAUAUAGACAGCUAGAUGGGUCAGAGGCAAAGCAGGCUUACCCAAAUGUACUUUCAAUUCCUUUUCCAAUUGAGACUGCUCCCUUCCUGGGCUAAGCCCACAGUGAAAGCUCAUUGGUCGGAGGCACUUCAACUUCCUACACAAACAUAAACACCUCUGCUGUGUUGCUAAGUUGAAAGAAGCAGCUUGUUGACAUGACGUAUGCUAAAGUUUGGAUCCAGAACUAAGAGACAGUAUUUUAGCUGCUGGUAUGUGGUGCUGACGCUGUGCUGCAUGAAGAGGUUUUCUUUUAUAAAUGUUGGACUUGUGCCCAGACUGCUAUAGUAGAAUCUGGAAGAAAACACAAUAAGGAGAACGUCAGAUCAAUUUGCAGGAACAUAUAUGUGGGGGAAAAAAAGGCUUUAAACAUAAAAGGCAUUUUUCAAACAGUGAGAGACCCAGACAAUGGACAGUAACUAUGAAUUUUUUAAAACCUAUCCUGAAUCAACCCCUAUUAUCAAUACAGAGUCAAAAGAAUGUUUUAUCUGUCGAGAAGGAGAGGAGAUGGGUCAUGAUGCUCUGCUUCACUUCUGUGACUGCAAAAACUUGAUUGCUCACCAGCAGUGUAUGUUAACCUGGAUACAGAAGGGUUUUUAUACAGAAGAUCAUCCAAGAUGCAAAGUUUGUACAGCUGAGAAAUUAAUUGCCUAAACCACAAUGAUUUAUAGUCAUACCAAACAUGAUUAUUAAUUUUCC
rnacentral:lncRNA from 1 species